UUGAACAGCUUCAAUCUCCCACAGUUCCUGCGUGUGACAGUCAUUCAUUAACAAGCAGAGACACAACGAGGAAGCUAACAUGUCAGACAAGAAACAGACCGUAGAUUUGGGUUUGCUGGAGGAGGAUGAUGAGUUUGAAGAAUUUCCAGCCGAAGAUUGGACGGGGCUGGAUGAAGAUGAGGAUGCUCAUGUUUGGGAAGACAACUGGGACGAUGACAACGUAGAGGAUGAUUUUUCAAAUCAGCUAAGAGCGGAGCUCGAAAAACAUGGUUACAAGAUGGAGACAUCUUAGGGGAUUGCAAGGCCUCAUAGUAGCUGAUGACAUUGGAUAUGGACAUUGAUAUUUGAAUAUUACUGCUUUACCACUUGCCCCAUGAAGACAUUUGCGGAUGUUAAAUUGUUUGUUUUUUUCUAAGAAAUAUUGAUGGAAGUAAAGCUUCUUGGUGGAAAAAGUU